rnacentral:rRNA from 1 species
UACGUAGGGUGCAAGCGUUGUCCGGAAUUAUUGGGCGUAAAGAGCUCGUAGGCGAUUUGUCGCGUCUGCUGUGAAAACUGGAGGCUCAACCUCCAGCCUGCAGUGGGUACGGGCAAACUAGAGUGCGGUAGGGGAGAUUGGAAUUCCUGGUGUAGCGGUGGAAUGCGCAGAUAUCAGGAGGAACACCGAUGGCGAAGGCAGAUCUCUGGGCCGUAACUGACGCUGAGGAGCGAAAGCAUGGGGAGCGAACAGG